AUCCGUUUAGUUUAAAAGGAAAACAUCAUCCUUACAAGUUGAAGACGGUGGAGCAUUACCACCAACGGAUA
rnacentral:tRNA from 1 species